rnacentral:sRNA from 1 species
GCCGGGCGAGGUGGUGCACGCCUGUAAUCCCAGCAGCUCGGGAGGCUGAGGCAGGAGGAUCGUGAGUUCAAAGCCAGCCUCAGCAACAGCAAGGCGCUCAGCAACUCAGUGAGACCCUGUCUCUA